GCCUGGGUGGCUCAGUCAGUUGAGCGUCUGACUUUGGCUCAGGUCAUGGUCUCGUGGUCUGUGAGUUCGAGCCCCGUGUCGGGCU
rnacentral:tRNA from 1 species